AACAUUAAAAAAAUAAGAAGAAAUAUAGUAAAAUAAAGCAGCAUUAUAUUGAAAUAGAACGGAAUCAAAUAUGUGUAGUAAUAAAACAGAUAUCUUCAACAUUGUGAACAUAUCUGUAUUUUGUGUGUCCUGCUGCAGGAUGCCUUCAGCCUGCUGGCGUACUCGGACCCCUGGAGCAGCCCGGUGGGUUUCCAGCUGGACGCCAUCCAGAGAGAGCCCGUCUGCUCCACCCUCAACAGUGCAAUACUAGAGACUCACAACCUGCCGAAGCAGCCCCCCCUCGCCCAGGCGGUGGGCCAGGCGGCGCAGUGCCUCUCCAUCAUGGCACGCACCGGCACCGGAUCCUGCGCCUUCGCCUCUGUGGACGAUUACCUGCACUAGCCCCAUGCUUAAACACAACACACACACACACACACACACACACACACACACACACACACACACACACACAGUCUGAGGAACUGUCCAGAAACGCCUCCUUCCACCUCCUCCAUCAGUGAAGUCGUAUUAAUGCUCCGAUUAAAAAAAGUAGGUGAAAGUUCACUCGCUUCUGCUCCCCGCUGAGGACCUGGAGACGUUUCUGGGCAGGUGUUUUAGAUUGCUAACACAUCGUACAUUUAAAAAACAAAAACAUCCCUUUCCAUCGUAAAUAUGAAAAAAACACCUCGCAAACAAACCCCUCUUUCCCCUCCUCCUGCAAGGCUGCGUCUUUCUGACUGACGGUGUGAAAACGCUAUUAAAAGGGUAGCCGACUUGGAAAAAAACUCUGUAUACAAACCGACCGACCGACUGAC